AUUGAACGCUGGCGGAAUGCUUUACACAUGCAAGUCGAACGGUAGAGGGGGCAACCCCUCGAGAGUGGCGAACGGGUGAGUAAUAUAUCGGAACGUGCCCAGUCGUGGGGGAUAACGUAGCGAAAGUUACGCUAAUACCGCAUACGAUCUAAGGAUGAAAGCGGGAGAUCGCAAGACCUCGCGCGAUUGGAGCGGCCGAUAUCAGAUUAGGUAGUUGGUGGGGUAAAGGCUAACCAAGCCAACGAUCUGUAGCUGGUCUGAGAGGACGACCAGCCACACUGGAACUGAGACACGGUCCAGACUCCUACGGGAGGCAGCAGUGGGGAAUUUUGGACAAUGGACGCAAGUCUGAUCCAGCCAUUCCGCGUGCAGGAUGAAGGCCCUCGGGUUGUAAACUGCUUUUGUACGGAACGAAAAGGUCUCUCUUAAUACGGGGGGCUCAUGACGGUACCGUAAGAAUAAGCACCGGCUAACUACGUGCCAGCCGCCGCAGUAA
rnacentral:rRNA from 1 species